UAGUAACGGCGAGUGAAGCGGGAAGAGCACAAAUUUAAAAUCUACCUGGUUUCCAGGUYGAGUUGUAAUUUGAAGAUACGUUUUUGAUGUUCCWGGUUGGACUAAAUCCUUUGGGAUAAGGUAUCAUGGAGGGUGAGAAUCCCGUAUAUACCAACCRYAGGGAUGUUAUUUAAUACGUUUCUAAGAGUCGAGUUGUUUGGGAAUGCAGCUCUAAAUGGGUGGUAAAUUUCACCUAAUGCUAAAUAUAAGCGAGAGACCGAUAGCGAACAAGUACAGUGAUGGAAAGAUGAAAAGAACUUUGAAAAGAGAGUUAAAUAGUACGUGAAAUUGUUGAAAGGGAAACGAUUGAAGUCAGUCAUGCCGGUGGGAAUCAACUUAGGGGAAACUCUGAGUGCACUUCUUCGCUUGGCAGGUCAAYGUCGAUUUUGGAUGUCAUAAAAUGAUUGGGGGAAGGUAGCUCCUUYGGGAGUGUUAUAGCCCUUGGUAGAUGUGAUGUCUGGGAUCGAGGAUUGCAAYGGAUACCCUUURGGGCUAGCCRCCUGAUCUCUAAUURGURUURGRUUACGGAYAGCAUGCUGACCGUGAUYUAAUUAUUGGUUAAAAGGUUAGAGNNNGCAUAAAUUC
rnacentral:rRNA from 1 species